rnacentral:sRNA from 1 species
AUUGAUGGAGUACAGUCUUAGUUCGCGACAUUGUGUCGAAAUGACUGUAUAACCCGCUUAGUGCGGG